GCUUGCUAUUGUACUGCUCAUUCCAUUCCAUUGUAGCACCAUAAUGGCCACUACAUCAAGGUGCACCAGGCCAAUGGCCUCAAAUCAUUAACACCAAAUUGGCACCAGCGCCAUGUUAUUGUCCUCAUACUGUUAGUACUACACUACCAACUGUACUGUGGCGCCAUCUAAGUUUACACACCAGAGCUACUGCCACUAGUGUUGCCACUGCUGUAAACACACCUUUAUUAUACAGUGCCCUAG
rnacentral:misc_RNA from 1 species